CCCUUAGAUGUUCUGGGCUGCACGCGCGCUACACUGACGCACGCAACAGGUGCCUGCUCCGAGAGGACUGGGUAAUCAUUUGAGUGUGCGUCGUGAUGGGGAUAGAAUAUUGUAAUUAUUACUCUUCAACGAGGAAUUCCUAGUAAGCGCCAGUCAGCAGCUUGCGCUGAUUACGUCCCUGCCCUUUGUACACACCGCCCGUCGCUCCUACCGAUGGGUGAUCCGGUGAAUGAUUCGGACUUCAGCGGCUCCCCUGGGGUGCGCCGGAGAAAGUUUUGUGAACCUUAUCGCUUGGAGGAAGGAGAAGUCGUAACA
rnacentral:rRNA from 1 species